CACCGUCUGCACCAGCUAGGAUUUGCUGGCCUUGUGUGAAAGUGACCGGAAGAAGGAGCUUUUGCUGCUACUACAGAUCAUUGACAUAAAGAUUAUUUCUCUAGGUCAUCUACCAAAUAUUUUCAGAUCCUUGGGGAGGCUUUUAUUGGAGUCUUUUGUGAAGAAAUUCAUUUUGGAAUUAAAAAGCUGUGCAGUGCUAUUUAUACUUGGGUUCAGAUUUUGAAGCGAAUUGGCAUCCUUAAUGGAAGUAUUAGUACCUUUUGUGUGUUCUGUAACAAUUGGGUUGAGGAAAAAUGGACCAUGUUCUGUUGCUCUACCCGUUGAGUUGGUGUGUUUGGUCGAAUAUUUUAAUUGGUGGGGAAUCCAAUGGGUCACGCCGGGUUCGGUGAUAGAGUUGUUGCAUUGGUGGGAUGGGGUUUCUUUCAGAAAGAUAGAAAAACAAAUUUGGAAAGUAAUCCCCAUGGCAAUUUUGCUGCUCAAAAAUAAAUAAAUAAAAAUUGCCAACAGGGUGAAGCUUAACCUCAAGGGAGUUUUGUAUUCUGUCAAUGAUUUUCUAUAUAACCUGCAGCAUAUUCGGUCAUGUUAUUAGACUUGUGGUUAGGAUUGUUGUUAGAUAUUGGCUAUGUUGUUUCUUGUUGGUUUUGCUUGGGCCUUCUCUAUUGACAUUUUAAAGGGUUGAUUGUUUAGUUUCUAUUAGGGGUAUUCAAAAUAGCCUGAGAACUGAAGAAUCGAAGAAUCGAAUUAAACCGGUCUCUUUGGGUUAGCUUGAUUUGGUUUUUUUAGUCCAUUGGUUUGGUUCCGGAUCUUCAAUUUGUCAAAUUGAUAGGAUUGAGUUGUUUCUUAAUUUAGACCUGAUUUAAACCUAAUCAACUUGAGAAUCAAACCUAUAUAUGCAUAUAUAUAUAUUUUUUCUUUUUUUAAUAUUGACGUGUCUUUAUAUUACCAUGGUUUUGUAUGUGAUUUCAAAAUCCUCUUUUCAUGAAGCUUGUGCAAUUGAACAAAUUUUGAAUUAUUGGUCCAAGAGUGAUAGAUUCUGC